CCACAGUUGUCUCAUCCUCGUGCCAGAGCAGUCCUCUUCUUCUGUGAGGUGGUCAAGGAUCAAAUCAGACAAAAUGACUGAGAAAAGGAUGUCUUCGAGUCGGAAACAUAACCUUAAGG